AUUGAACGCUAGCGGCAUGCUUAACACAUGCAAGUCGAACGGUAGCAGACCUAGCUUGCUAGGUGCUGACGAGUGGCGGACGGGUGAGUAACGCGUAGGAAUUUACCUUGUAGUGGGGGAUAACUUGGGGAAACUCAAGCUAAUACCGCAUAAGCCCGCGAGGGGAAAGUGUGGGACCGAAAGGCCACAUGCUAUGAGAUGAGCCUGCGUCAGAUUAGCUAGUUGGUGGGGUAAAGACCUACCAAGGCGAAGAUCUGUAGCUGGUCUGAGAGGACGACCAGCCACACUGGGACUGAGACACGGCCCAGACUCCUACGGGAGGCAGCAGUGGGGAAUAUUGGACAAUGGGCGAAAGCCUGAUCCAGCCAUUCCGCGUGCAGGAUGAAGGCCCUCGGGUUGUAAACUGCUUUUGUACAGAACGAAAAGGUUUCUACUAAUACUAGGAGCUCAUGACGGUACUGUAAGAAUAAGCACCGGCUAACUACGUGCCAGCCGCCGCGGUAACAC
rnacentral:rRNA from 1 species